rnacentral:rRNA from 1 species
CAUUAAAUCAGUUAUCGUUUAUUUGAUAAUACCUUACUACUUGGAUAACCGUGGUAAUUCUAGAGCUAAUACAUGCUGAAAAUCCCGACUUCGGAAGGGAUGUGUUUAUUAGAUAAAAAACCAAUGCCCUUCGGGGCUCCUUGGUGAUUCAUAAUAACUUUACGGAUCGCAUAGCCUUGCGCUGGCGACGGUUCAUUCAAAUUUCUGCCCUAUCAACUUUCGAUGGUAAGGUAUUGGCUUACCAUGGUUUCAACGGGUAACGGGGAAUUAGGGUUCGAUUCCGGAGAGGGAGCCUGAGAAACGGCUACCACAUCCAAGGAAGGCAGCAGGCGCGCAAAUUACCCAAUCCCGAUUCGGGGAGGUAGUGACAAUAAAUACUGAUACAGGGCUCUUUUGGGUCUUGUAAUUGGAAUGAGUACAAUUUAAACCUCUUAACGAGGAACAAUUGGAGGGCAAGUCUGGUGCCAGCAGCCGCGGUAAUUCCAGCUCCAAUAGCGUAUAUUAAAGUUGUUGCAGUUAAAAAGCUCGUAGUUGAAACUUGGGUCUGGCUGGCGGGUCCGCCUCACCGCGUGCACUCGUCCGGCCGGGCCUUCCUUCUGAAGAACCUCAUGCCCUUUACUGGGCGUGUUGGGGAAUCAGGACUUUUACUUUGAAAAAAUUAGAGUGUUCAAAGCAGGCCUUUGCUCGAAUACGUUAGCAUGGAAUAAUAAAAUAGGGCGUGCGUUUCUAUUUUGUUGGUUUCUAGAGACGCCGCAAUGAUUAACAGGAACAGUCGGGGGCAUCAGUAUUCAGUUGUCAGAGGUGAAAUUCUUGGAUUUACUGAAGACUAACUACUGCGAAAGCAUUUGCCAAGGAUGUUUUCAUUAAUCAGUGAACGAAAGUUAGGGGAUCGAAGACGAUCAGAUACCGUCGUAGUCUUAACCGUAAACUAUGCCGACUAGGGAUCGGGCGAUGUUCUUUUUCUGACUCGCUCGGCAC